UCUUGCAAUGACUUGAGUUUACAAUGCAAAAUCUUAAUUUUCAAUUUAAAAAUUUCUCACAAAAAUCAAUGUUUACACCUGAAACUAAUGUUAUAUGUCAACACUAUCUCAUAAGAAAGUUCCUACAGAGCUAUGCAAACAAAUUGUUUGAUGACCUCUAUUUCAGAGAGAAGACCUGCUUCUGGAAGCUGUGCUACAGAGAUUUGGGGAAAGCCUCUGACUCUCACAAAGGUUUUAAUUUGGAGUUCACAAUGGAGUUUUUUGAAUGGACACAGUGGAUGAAGACCUACCUGUGAGGUCAUCUUUUCAUUUUGUUAAUUUUUUAAAAAUUAGAUCUCUGGUUCAAUAUUAAAGGAUAUAAUUCAGGAACAGCUAGAUGGAAGAGAUGCAGACAGCAAGGUAUGUGUUUGUUAAUUGUUUCUUUUGCUUUGUGAAAGCUUUUGAGUUUGACGAAUCCCAUUGUUGGGUUUUUGCUUAUAUGUGCUUUUGUCAUCAAGUUCAAAAAUCACUGCCAAGAUCAAUAACAAUUAGCUCUUCCAUACACACACACACAUGUAUACACAUAUAUAUGGAUAUACAUAUUAUUUGAGAUACUAAUUUUGUCCUCAGGGACAAUAGUGAAAAAUAAUGUAUACAUUCCAUUGCCAGAAUAAAAAAAAGUUUGGUCUUCUGUAAAAACUAUGC
rnacentral:lncRNA from 12 species